UACGAAGGGUGCAAGCGUUGCUCGGCAUUAUUGGGCGUAAAGGGUAGGUAGGUUGUCUUGUUUGUCUAAGGUGAAAUCCCACGGCUUAACUGUGGAAGUGCCUUAGAAACGGCAAGACUAGAGUCCUAGAGGGGUUUGUGGAAUUCCCGGUGUAGCGGUGAAAUGCGUAGAGAUCGGGAGGAACACCAGCGGCGAAGGCGGCAAACUGGAUAGGCACUGACACUCAACUACGAAAGCGUGGGGAUCAAACAGG
rnacentral:rRNA from 1 species